rnacentral:tRNA from 1 species
AGGUCCGGGAGCUUGUAUUUAAGCAUCUGACUGUUGAUCAGAGUAAAGUUAGUAAUUAACUUCGGGUCUA